CAAAACUUCAUCAACCCUUUUUCUCUCUCUCUCUCUCUAUCUGGCGACUCAUGAACCUGUAAGGAUUUCACCAGAUCUAGAUCUAGGGUUUUACUUUCAUUCGAAUUCAAAUCCAUGACCCCAACCUGUGACGGUGUGGUGUGCAGUGUUAAAAUCCGCUGAUUAGGGUUCCGGCAGUGGGAUUCUCGAGCAGAUUGGUGGCAGACGAGCAUCUGGCUGUAGAUGGUGGUUGAGGAAAACUAGGGUUUCGUAAGUUGAGAUUCCGGCGAUCUAGGGCUUAAACAAGCUUUCUCCAGCAAUGUCCAGCAACGAGGAUCCGUCUACGAUUUUGAUGUUCCUAAUCGUUUAUCUAUUACACAAUUGCACAUGUAUUAGUUGUGAUUUCCCCUUUUCAAGAUCCCCAAGAACAUGGUGUUCGAGAGGGAGAGGCCGCGGAUGGAGUUUACUUCAUAUGGGAAGGCGAGGUAACUUUUCUCUUGUGCAACAUGUGACUUUUAAUUCUUGAGUUUAGAUGCAUAUUUGAGUUUGGUUUAUUCUAGAUAAGUAAUAUAUCUAAACAAUUUAUAAACAAAUCUAAACAAAAUCUAAAGCAUCUAUUCAUCAAGAGUAUUUGUUUUCCAACAAUUUUCGUUAAACAAAACCUGUUAGCUUUUAGUA